rnacentral:rRNA from 1 species
UACGAAGGGUGCAAGCGUUACUCGGAAUUACUGGGCGUAAAGCGUGCGUAGGUGGUUUGUUAAGUCUGUUGUGAAAGCCCCGGGCUCAACCUGGGAAUGGCAAUGGAUACUGGCAAGCUAGAGUGCGGUAGAGGGUAGUGGAAUUCCCGGUGUAGCGGUGAAAUGCGUAGAUAUCGGAAGGAACAUCAGUGGCGAAAGCGACUUCCUGGACCAGUACCGACGUUCAGGCACGAAAGCGUGGGGAGCAAACAGG